UACGGGAGGCAGCAGUAGGGAAUCUUCCGCAAUGGACGAAAGUCUGACGGAGCAACGCCGCGUGAACGAUGAAGGCUUUCGGGUCGUAAAGUUCUGUUGUUAGGGAAGAACAAGUACCAGAGUAACUGCUGGUACCUUGACGGUACCUAACCAGAAAGCCACGGCUAACUACGUGCCAGCAGCCGCGGUAAUACGUAGGUGGCAAGCGUUGUCCGGAAUUAUUGGGCGUAAAGCGCGCGCAGGUGGUUCUUUAAGUCUGAUGUGAAAGCCCACGGCUCAACCGUGGAGGGUCAUUGGAAACUGGGGAACUUGAGUGCAGAAGAGGAAAGUGGAAUUCCACGUGUAGCGGUGAAAUGCGUAGAGAUGUGGAGGAACACCAGUGGCGAAGGCGACUUUUCUGGUCUGUAAACUGACACUGAGGCGCGAAAGCGUGGGGAGCGAACAGGGAUUAGAUACC
rnacentral:rRNA from 1 species